UUAUUAGGUAGACCUGUGCCGAUAGGUGU
rnacentral:piRNA from 1 species